rnacentral:rRNA from 1 species
UACGAAGGGGGCUAGCGUUGCUCGGAAUCACUGGGCGUAAAGCGCACGUAGGCGGCUUACUAAGUCAGGGGUGAAAUCCUGGAGCUCAACUCCAGAACUGCCUUUGAUACUGGUGAGCUUGAGUCCGGAAGAGGUGAGUGGAACUGCGAGUGUAGAGUUGAAAUUCGUAGAUAUUCGCAAGAACACCAGUGGCGAAGGCGGCUCACUGGUCCGGUACUGACGCUGAGGUGCGAAAGCGUGGGGAGCGAAUGGG